CUGGAACUCUUACCUCUUAUGAGGUACAGGAGGGAACCCCGACUGUGACAAACAGCCUGCCUAGCUGAUGCACCUCGAGACUUGAAAGCCUGCUGUAUUCUCCCAUGUUGCAGGACUGUGUUAUACCCCUGGUUGGCAUAGGCUGACAUGAGCUCCCGGGAAGGGCCAGAAGGGAUCUGUGGCCAUCCAUUCUAACCUCUCAAUAUUGCUUAAGUGGGGAGAUAUCAGGGCUACUGCAUAAAAUGCAAGCACCCCCUUCUGCCACCUUUGAGUUUUAGUUAACCUUAUACACCAUGUUAUGCUUUUAAUCAGUU